CUCCAGCUGAUUCUCCAGUUUGUUAAUUAGAGGUUCACAUCGACAACCAUUUAUUGGUGCCUAAGAGGGAAGAGGAAAAAGAAUCAGUCUCUGGGUCCUUUGAAGCAGAAGGGCUGGACAUUAGACCACAGGGAUACAGAUGACAGAGGAGGCAGACUCAUCCCUAUCCUAACUCUGGAAUGUUCUACAGGCUCAGCUUUGGGUCUCACAGACACUAAGAAGAUUGAGGAUUCCUGGGAUUGCCGACCAGUUUUCUCCUUCAGGCACCAUAGGGAACGUAACUCUUCCCCCAUUGCUAUGGAGAGGAGGAUGAAACAACCCCAGAGGAAAGAAGAUCAAGACUGUAAUGAGACAGUUCUGAAUCUCUAAGAGGACAUCUUAUCUCUGACAGUUAGUAUUCCAAAGAGAAACUCAUGGAGGAAACACCAAUCAUGCAAGGAUGGAGUGUGCCCCUCUUCAGGAGGAAGCCCCCAGGUGGAAAGAGCAGACAUGCUACAAGGAAGCUCAAGCCAGAUUUCAAGGCUGACCAUCACCAGACAUGGUAUAUACACAGCAGACAGGCACGGAUCCAUACGCUGACCAGCAAAUGCAGGACUUCCAGACCUGGGAAGGUCAAUUUGGCUUCUCUAUUCCCAACUAUUUUUUUACGC